GACGAACGCUGGCGGCGUGCCUAACACAUGCAAGUCGAACGGAAAGGCCCUUCUUUUGUGGGGUGCUCGAGUGGCGAACGGGUGAGUAACACGUUAGUAACCUGUCCUUGACUUUGGCAUAACUUCACGAAACUGGGGCUAAUACCGGAUAGGAGCUCCUGCUGCAUGGUGGGGGUUGGAUAGUUUCGGCGGUUGGGGAUGUACUCGCGGCUUAUCAGCUAGUUGGUGGGGUAGUGGCUUACCAAGGCUUUGACGGGUAGCCGGCCUGAGAGGGUGACCGGCAACAGUGGGACUGAGACACGGCCCAGACUCCUACGGGAGGCAGCAGUGGGGAAUAUUACACAAUGGGCGGAAGCCUGAUGCAGCAACGCCGCGUGCGGGAUGAAGGCCUUCGGGUUGUAAAGCUCUUUCAGCUGGGAAGAUAAUGACGGUACCAGCAGAAGAAGCCCCGGCUAACUCCGUG
rnacentral:rRNA from 1 species